UAGGGAAUCUUCGGCAAUGGACGAAAGUCUGACCGAGCAACGCCGCGUGAGUGAAGAAGGUUUUCGGAUCGUAAAACUCUGUUGUUAGAGAAGAACAAGGACGUUAGUAACUGAACGUCCCCUGACGGUAUCUAACCAGAAAGCCACGGCUAACUACGUACCAGCAGCCGCGGUAAUACGUAGGUGGCAAGCGUUGUCCGGAUUUAUUGGGCGUAAAGCGAGCGCAGGCGGUUUCUUAAGUCUGAUGUGAAAGCCCCCGGCUCAACCGGGGAGGGUCAUUGGAAACUGGGAGACUUGAGUGCAGAAGAGGAGAGUGGAAUUCCAUGUGUAGCGGUGAAAUGCGUAGAUAUAUGGAGGAACACCAGUGGCGAAGGCGGCUCUCUGGUCUGUAACUGACGCUGAGGCUCGAAAGCGUGGGGAGCAAACAGG
rnacentral:rRNA from 1 species